UUAUUUGAGAGUUUGAUCCUGGCUCAGGACGAACGCUGGCGGCGUGCUUAACACAUGCAAGUUGAACGGGCAGAUAUGGAAGCUUGCUGAAGUAUCUGUUAGUAGCGGACGGGUGAGUAAUGCAUGAGGAG
rnacentral:rRNA from 1 species